GACGAACGCUGGCGGCGUGCUUAACACAUGCAAGUCGAGCGGAAAGGCCUCUUUGGGGGUACUCGAGCGGCGAACGGGUGAGUAACACGUGAGUAACCUGCCCUGGACUUUGGGAUAACCCUCGGAAACGGGGGCUAAUACCGGAUAUGACAUGCGCUUGCAUGGGUGUGUGUGGUAAAGUUUUUUCGGUCUGGGAUGGCUCGCGGCCUAUCAGCUUGUUGGUGGGGUGAUGGCCUACCAAGGCGACGACGGGUAGCCGGCCUGAGAGGGCGACCGGCCACACUGGGACUGAGACACGGCCCAGACUCCUACGGGAGGCAGCAGUGGGGAAUAUUGCACAAUGGGGCGGAAGCCUGAUGCAGCGACGCCGCGUGAGGGAUGACGGCC
rnacentral:rRNA from 1 species